rnacentral:lncRNA from 1 species
GUGAGUCUCACCGAAGAAGACGGUGGUUUCCACCACCGUCCCCAAGUGGAAGAGUUCAUGGCCCUUGGAUCUGGCUCUGGGGAUCUAAUCUUAGCCCUUGGUUAUUAUGACUUCAUUUAAUGCCAUGUGUGAUGCUGUUGACUCAAGUACACCAUGCGCGCGCGUUUCCCAGCCCUCAGAUGCGCCACAUCAAUUAAUGAAUCCAGAUCCAACGCCUCUGGAUUUUUG